UCCGGUUCCUCACCGGCAGUCUCCUUAGAGUCCCCAACUGAAUGCUGGUAACUAAGGACAAGGGUUGCGCUCGUUACGGGACUUAACCCAACAUCCCACAACACGAGCUGACGACAGCCAUACAGCACCUGUCUCUGCGCUCCUUUCGGCACUCCCACCUCUCAGCAGGAUUCGCAGGAUGUCAAGGGUAGGUAAGGUUCUUCGCGUUGCAUCGAAUUAAACCACAUGCUCCACCGCUUGUGCGGGCCCCCGUCAAUUCAUUUGAGUUUCAACCUUGCGGCCGUACUUCCCAGGCGGAGAACUUAUCGCGUUAGCUUCGAUACUAAUGGGUUCCCCCACUAACAUCUAGUUCUCAUCGUUUACAGCGUGGACUAC
rnacentral:misc_RNA from 1 species